rnacentral:rRNA from 1 species
UACGAAGGGGGCUAGCGUUGCUCGGAAUCACUGGGCGUAAAGCGCACGUAGGCGGACUCUUAAGUCGGUGGUGAAAUCCUGGAGCUCAACUCCAGAACUGCCUUCGAUACUGGCGAUCUCGAGUCCGGAAGAGGUGAGUGGAACUCCUAGUGUAGAGGUGGAAUUCGUAGAUAUUAGGAAGAACACCAGUGGCGAAGGCGACUCACUGGUCCGGUACUGACGCUGAGGUGCGAAAGCGUGGGGAGCAAACAGG